GACGAACGCUGGCGGCGUGCCUAACACAUGCAAGUCGAGCGGGGAGGAGGAAGCUUGCUUCCGAAUCCUAGCGGCGGACGGGUGAGUAACGCGUGAGCAACCUGCCUUGAACUGGGGGAUAACGCAUCGAAAGAUGUGCUAAUACCGCGUAAGACCACGGUACCGCAUGGUACAGGGGUCAAAGGAGCAAUCCGGUUUAAGAUGGGGCUCGCGUCCGAUUAGCUAGUUGGUGAGAUAACAGCCACCAAGGCGACGAUCGGUAGCCGACCUGAGAGGGUGAUCGGCCACAUUGGAACUGAGACACGGUCCAGACUCCUACGGGAGGCAGCAGUGGGGGAAUAUUGGGCAAUGGGCGGAAAAGCCUGACCCACGCAACGCCGCGUGAGGGAAGAAAGGGUUUCGGGCUCGUAAACCUACUGUCCUA
rnacentral:rRNA from 1 species